rnacentral:rRNA from 1 species
UGCCAGCCGCCGCGGUAAUACAGAGGAGGCGAGCGUUGCUCGGAAUCAUUGGGCUUAAAGCGGAUGUAGGCGGCUUGGCAAGUGUGACGUGAAAGCUCCCGGCUCAACCGGGGAAUUGCGUUGCAAACUGCUAGGCUUGAGGUCGGUAGGGGUGUCUGGAACUCUAGGUGGAGCGGUGAAAUGCGUAGAUAUCUAGAGGAACGCCGGAGGCGAAAGCGAGACACUGGGCCGAUUCUGACGCUGAGAUCCGAAAGCGUGGGGAGCAAACAGGAUUAGAUA